rnacentral:rRNA from 1 species
CUCCUACGGGAGGCAGCAGUGGGGAAUCUUGCACAAUGGGGGAAACCCUGAUGCAGCGACGCCGCGUGAGCGAUGAAGCCCUUCGGGGUGUAAAGCUCUUUCGGCAGGGAAGAUGGUGACGGUACCUGCAGAAGCAGCUGCGGCUAAUUACGUCCCAGCAGCCGCGGUAAUACGUAGGCAGCAAGCGUUGUUCGGAGUUACUGGGCGUAAAGGGUGUGUAGGCGGUUUUUUAAGUUUGGUGUGAAAUCUCCCGGCUCAACUGGGAGGGUGCGCCGAAUACUGAAAGACUAGAGUGCGGGAGAGGAAAGUGGAAUUCCUGGUGUAGCGGUGAAAUGCGUAGAUAUCAGGAGGCACACCGGUGGUGUAGACGGCUUUCUGGCCCGUAACUGACGCUGAGACACGAAAGCGUGGGUAGCAAACAGGAUUAUGAUACCCUGGUAGUCCACGCCCUAAACGAUGCAUAUUUGGUGUGGGCAGUUCAUUCUGUCCGUGCCGGAGCUAACGCGUUAAAUAUGCCGC